rnacentral:lncRNA from 1 species
AGCAAUCAGCUCCUCCCUCCUCAUCACCUCAUCUUUUGGAAAUAUAGCGCAAUACGCAAAGCAUUGCUUCAAAUGUGGUGAUAGAUUAGUGUAACUCAACCUCAAAGCAGGUAAGAUCUCGUUUGCUUCUUCUCUUAGAUCCCAAAUCUCACUUUCUUUGACAGCUAUCCACUGAUCUUCACUUUCUUUUAACCGCAUUAGGUUCCCUAGUGCCUUUAUAGCUAAAGGAACACCACCACACUUCUUCACUAUUGAUACUCCAAUGGCUUCCAGGCGUGCCCUCUCCUCUUUCCUUCUCAUCCCGAAUGCAAGCUGUUGAAACAACCGCCAAGAAUCUUCUUCAGACAAUCUCCCCAUGUGCUUGACAAAAGCUGUUGCCAUUCUAAGAGCAAUCAUCUCAAUACGCGUAGUUACUAUGACAGCACUAUCUUUAGCUCCACACCUUAAUACCUCCUUCAAUUUAUUCCACCUAUCACCAUAAUCAUCCCACACAUCAUCCAAUACAAGCAAAAACUUCUUUCUAUUUAACUUCUGUUGGAGGCAUUGUUGCAAGGGAUCCAAUUCUUGAAGACCACAAGGGGAACCAUCAAUGGACUCUAUGAUGGCUCUUGUUAAUCUUCUGAGAUCGAAAUCAGUAGAUACACACACCCAGAUCCUCAAACUGAAUUGCUGUUUAACACUUUCUUCAUUGAAGACCAGUUGAACAAGUGUUGUUUUACCCAGCCCCCCCAUCCCCCAUAUCGCAUAAAUAGGGAGAUCACCUGAAGUAGUGAGCAGCAAGUUGAUUAGUUCCUCUUUCUCCUUGCCUCUUCCAUAAAUUUCUGAUUCAUUCACCGAAGACCAAGUCUGACGCUGAACAAAACCAUCUGCUUCCAUCUCCACAGCCCCCUCUGUUAGGUGGAAAUUUUGUCUCUCCUUGGCAAUGGCAUCCAGUUUUUCUCUAACAUUCAUCAAUUUAUGAGCCAUCCUUUGUCGAAAAACAAGUGGAUUAUGUUUGCUAGAAAAGAAGGAUCUUACUCGAUUUUGGAGAUCUCUUCGCUGCAGAAGCCACUUAGCUUCAAUUGCAAAGUCAUCCAGUACAUCAUCAACAACAUAAGCUGCAUCCUUGAGGUCGCUGAGCCACACCUUGAUAGGCUCACUCUUCCACUGCUUCUCCUCUGCAUCUUGCAGCACAGCUUGAAUGGUUCUGAACGUGCGCUUGAGAUUUUCAAGCUCGGUCGUUAGGCCCCCAGCAAGUCCAAGCUCUUGAAGAAUUGGGGAAUUCAAGUUGCCCAUGAUUGUACUCGCGAGAGCAGAAAGAAUUGCAUCAGCCAUGGCUUGUUUUGGAAUGGAAAAGAAGAAGUAGAAAAGGUGCAAGGAAAACUAAAAGCAGGGGAGGUGAGAAAGAAAUGGCAAGUAAAUAUUGAGAAGACAGAGCAGUAUGAGAUGAAAAAUGGAUAAGGCAAACAGCAGUCUCUGAUUAUUUUGAUUAGGCUCCACACGGUGCAGGCUUGACUUGGCUAUGCCUAUAAUAAUAUAAUAAAGCAAUUGAAGUUUCAGAGAAGGAACUUUUGUCAAUUAUUGCAUGCCUUUUCCUGUUUGAAACCUGGACCUACUGAGAAUCCUUCCUAUAUCUGUAACAGAAACGUGAUCAACGCUUUUGGCUGUGAAUUCUCAAGGGUAUUUUUCUUUUCAAUUUAUUCUCCAUUAGCUAGACACAGUGCAAAACGUUUUAGAUAAAUGUGUUUUAAUCCUCGGUUAGAGUUAAUUUAUUCUUAAUGACAGUAGAAUGACAUCAUAAUCACAACUAAUCUCAAAAACUUAUUCGAAACAAACAUUAAAAAAAAAAAGGGUGAUAGAAGAGAAUUAUUCGAACAAGCUAGGUGGUCACGAUCAUGAACUCCAGCAUUUGUCCCGACCUCGAUCCAAACCAUAAUCACACGGUUGCCCGUAUUAUGUUUUUAAUAAGGUUAUAUAUCCUUAUAUAUCCUGUCAAAUCUCCAAUUCAUGUCAUAAGACCUUGCUAACAUGUAGAAGUAAAUAAAAAAAAUCAUUAAACUCAUUUCUCAAUCAAUCCAAUAUUGAAUAAUGAAAUUGAAAAAAAAAUCAGUCAAUUUUAUAAGUCUAAAAACAACUUAAAUAACAGGUAAAAAUAUAGCUUCAUAAAAAAAAUUAAGACAAUAUUAUUUUUUAAAUAGUAAGAUGAUAAUAUAUUGGAUCUACUUAGAUUUACUUAAGACGAUAUUAUUUUUUUAAUAGUAAGAUGAUAAUAUAUUGGAUCUACUUAGAUUUACUUAAGACGAUAUUAUUUUUUUAAUAGUAAGAUGAUAAUAUAUUGGAUCUACUUAGAUUUACUUAAGACGAUAUUAUUUUUUUAAUAGUAAGAUGAUAAUAUAUUGGAUCUACUUAAAUUUACUCAAAUCUAUUUGGAUUCCCUCGAAUCAACUAAGGUUAUAUAUCCUGUCAAAUCUCCAAUUCAUGUCAUAAGACCUUGCUAACAUGUAGAAGUAAAUAAAAAAAAUCAUUAAACUCAUUUCUCAAUCAAUCCAAUAUUGAAUAAUGAAAUUGAAAAAAAAAUCAAUUAGAAAAAUAGGUCGAGUAAACCUUAGUUAACCUGUAAAAACUUAGUCACGAGACCGAGAUAACCGCAUAGAAAAAAUUUAAAAUAAAUUAUGAAGCUCAAUUCUCAAUCAAUCCAAUUUUAAAGGAUGAAAUUGAAUAAAAAAUCAAUUAAAAAAAGAGCACGAAAAAACCACUCGAGUCAAAUCGAGUUAACCUACCAAACUUGUGACUUGAGUCAUGAGGCUGGCAUAACUUCAUGUAAACAAACCGAAAUAAAUUAUAAAAUAUAAUACUUAAUCAACUCAAUAUUGAAUGAUAAAAUUGAAAAAAGAGAAAAAAAACUCGAGGCAAUCAGGCAACUCACGACCUGGGUCAUGAAACCAUGAUAACCCAUAAAAAAUAAAUGAAAACAAAUUAUGAAGUACAAUUCUCAAUUAACCCAAUGUUGAAGGAUUAAUUUGAAAAAAAAAAUCAAUUAAAGAAACAAAAAAAAUCUUGAUUCAAACUCGGUUAACUUGUCAAACUUGAAUCAUGAGACCGGGAUAACUCUAUAGAAAUAAAAAAAAAAAUUAUGAAGUCAAAUUUUUAAUUUGGAUAAUGAAAUUGAAAAAAAUCAAUUAAAAAGAACAAAGGAUCUAAAAAAAUUCGAAUCAAAUUGGCUAACCCGCAAAAUUUGCGAUCUUGGUCACGAGACCAUGAUAACCUUAUAGAAAGCAAAUAGAAAAAAUCAAAUCAAAUUCUCAAUCAACUCAAUACUGAAGGAUGAAGUUGAAUUUUUUUAAAAAAAGAACAAAAAAAAAUUGAGUAAAUUCGUGUUAACUUGUCAGAACUUAGAUCAUAAAACUAAGAUAACUUCAUAGAAAAUAAAUCAAAAUAAAUUAUGAAGUUCAAUAUUUACUAAACUCAAUAUUAAAAAAUAAAAUUAUAAAAAAAUAAAAAUAAAAUAAAAAAUCUUGAGAACCAAAUUGUAAAAGUUCAAAGCAUUUCAAUGUUCAUUGUAAUAAUGAAAUGCUAAGUUCAUUUAGUAAACCUUGAGGUUCAAAUUAUAAAAGACUAACACAUUUCACAUUUAAUUGUUUAUUGCUAUAAUAAAAUAUCAAAGUUUUUUUAAUAUAUGUUAAUAAUAAUUAUUAAAUGGAUGGAGAAACGUGGUGAAUAAGUAUAUUUUUCUAAACUAACCAAAGCUUACCACAAGAAUUUUUUCAGCAUAAUUUUUUCAGCAUAUUUUAAAUUUUAUUUUAAUCAAGAGUUUAAUUGAAAAAUUAAUGAGUUUGAGGACUUAAUUAAACUUUGAUUUAAUUAAUUAAAUAAAUUCAGGGACUUAAUUGAAAUUAAUCCAAGGGUAAAAUUAAAAGAUUGUUGGGAUCAAAUUGUUAAAUUUCCAGAGGCAGGGGUCAAAUUGAAAAUUCCCAUUUUCUACCGAAACGGCACCGUUGCUAAGGAACAGCCGUGCGUCUUCUCCAUCCCGAUUCAACAGGGGAGCUCCCGAUUCAGCAGGGGAGCUGAUAAUCUGCAACAAAUCCGAUCAUGGACCACGUCUCUUGCCCACUAUCUCGUUCGUGGAUUCCAUAACAGUCCUGCAAAGGCAGGACUGGUGGAAGGGCAAGCUUCUCUAUAAAACGGAGAAGAAAACCCAGAACCAGAGGGGGAGAAUGAACCGAAAAAUUAACCCAAAAACAGAGAAAAAAAGCAGAGAAAAUUGAACAAAAAACCGGGAAUAAAGAAGCAAGCAAAACCCAGAAAAGGCCUCAGCAACAGAGGAGGAGGGGCCGAAAAUCAGAGGAGGAAACAGAACCAGAGGGGAUUGGGACGAACAGGCCAGCAACAGAGGAGGAAGGGACGAAGAUCCAAAGAUAGAAAAAGAGGGCAUAGAACACAGCAAAAAAAGUCAAAUAUACAGGGGCAGAGCAGGAACCGAAACAGCAAAACUGGGGAAAGAACCGGCAGAUCACAGAGCCGAACAGAGACUAAAACCUGGGGAAACAGAGGGGAAGAGACAGAACCAGGAGGGGCUAAAACUGAACCCAGAAAAACAGAGUCAAGAACCAAUAAAACGCAAGCCACAAAUAGAGCAAAAAAGGAGACCCAAUUUCGAAAGGAGAAGCCAGCACUGUACACUUUUCUUCAUCACAAGGACUGAAAGGGCACUGGACUGGAGAAAAGAAGACCACGAACAAAAACAGAGAGAAGAGGUUUUUCCAGACUCAAAGCAGUAACACAGGGGAGAUAAACAAAUAGACAAAAAAAAGAAGAAGAGGAAAGAAAGCAGAGACGAACAAAGGGGAGCUGGGAAAACAGAGGAAAAAAGAAGAACGACCCAGAGUCAAAAUCCCCUGCAGCCAUUUUGAUCGUCUCCAGAAGCAGAGAGAAGGAACAAUAGAGGAAGAACUUAAGAAGGGAAUAGCACCAACCGCCCUUAACUUCGUCUUCAUCUUCAGGAGCAGCAGCCCACAGGUAUGUUUCUCUACAUCUCCUCUCGCUUUUCAGUUUUAAUUCAUGCCAUACUGUUCAUGUGAAUUUUAAUUCACUGAACACUUAGACACGCGUGAACCAGCUCACGCGUGUUAUUUGCCCAGCCGGGCUCAACCCAGCCCAUGUGGGUUGAGCUGGGCCCGCCUAAAAAUAAAAAAUAAAAAGAUAAAAAAAUAUAUAAUAAAAAUUGUGUAUGUAAAACAAAUAUAUAAAAAUAAAUUUAUUGUUUUUUUAUUUAUUCAUUGACGCCAGAGUCAGAAUAAAAAUAUCAAUUCAAAUUUAUUUUAUUGUAUUUUAUUUGGUUAUAUAAAAAAUGUGCGUGCAAAAAAAAAUAACUUAAGAUAAAAUAAAAUAAAUUUAUUCGGCAUAUUCACUGACGCCAGAGUUAGGAAUAAAAAAUACUAAUGUAAAUUUAUUUUAUUUUGUUUUUAUUUAGCUACAUAAAAAAUAAAAAUAAUGCGUAUGCGUAAAAAAUAAAUUGAUUUUUAUUUGUUUAUUCACUGACGCCAGAGUCAGGAAUAUAAAAAAUGAUGAUUUAAAUUUAUUUAUUCUGAUACUUACGUAAUAUUUACCAGCGCCAGAGUUGGAAAUAUCCGUAGUUGAAUAUUCACCGACGCCAGAGUCAGGAAUAUUAUACGCAAACAAUCAUAGUAUAAAACAACAUAAAAUGUUAGCAAUUAAUGACAAAGAUUAGCAAUGCAGCCUGUCUUAGGUAGGACGUUUAAGGGGUGAUAAUAUCUUCCCUUUUACGUAACCAGUCUCGGACCAUAGAAUCUCUGUUGACCAGUUAGGGUUCCUAGUAACCGUAAUACUAGGUGACGACUCCUUAAACAAAGAAUAUCCUCAUUAAAGAACAUGAUGCCAGAAAUCUGUUCUUUCCAAAGAUUUAAUAAAUUUUUAAGGCUGCCGCGAUGUCGGGUGCGACAAUAUCUAAAUUAGAUAACAAAUAAGUUAUACUUGAUGAGUUGUUGUCAAUGGUUAGGUUUCAGAGAAAGGCAUGACAGCUUCUCCUUUAUGGGUAUUGCUUGGAGUAUCCGGUUAACCGGAAAUAAUUUGGUUUUCAAUGAUGCACAACGAAAUAUGAAAGUCAUGCUUCUCUUUAACCCUCCACUGGCUGUCCGCAUGGUUACAAAAUUACUGUGAAGAGCAUUUCAAUUGCUGCAUUCACCAAGUUGAUUGAUUCUCAUUUUUUCCUUUGUAGUGGUAGAAGACAUCUAUAGACGAAGACAGCCAUUUCUCUCCAUGGAUGCUAUAUAUACUUCAUCCAACCAACAAAAGAGAAGUAAUAUAUUUUUCUCUGCAGAUAUAUACAGACAAGGUUCUUCUGUGCAGUGAAGCCAAUGUAUGAGAGACCUAUGACCCUGACUUUCUCUUAAAAUAUAUAUAUAUUUUAAAGUUAAUACGGGUUUUUGGAUCGGUUUAUGUAUAUUUUAAUUAAUUCUAUUUUAUAAGUUUUAAAGUAAAUAAUUAUGUGAAUUCAACUUAUAAUUAUUAAAAAAACAAAUUUAAAAUCUGAUUAAGUUAUCCUUGAUAUUUCUGAUACCCCCGACUCUUGUUUACACAAUGCCGGCGGUGACAGAUACAUCAUAUGUUUUUUUUUUACAGUAAAGAAGGCCGGUGUUCUUACUAUUAGUUUUUUUUUAUUAUUAUAAAUUAAAGAUCAUUAAUGGAAUCUGCUAGUUUUUUUUUACAGUAAAGAUGGCUCGAAUUUUUUAGAUUAUUUUUAUUCCGACAACAAUUUUUAAUGCUAGCAAAAUAUUUCAUUGAUAGUACUUUUAUAAUUCCAUUGAUAUUUUUAUUGGUAUUAGAAAUCACCAACAGAACAAAAAAAGCCAAUGAGCAACUUUCAAAAGAUGAUUUUCCAUUAGCAAUUCCAUCAAUAAUUUCUAAUAAUAACAAAAUUCUCUCUAAAUACUCUUUUAGCAUUCCUUAAUUUUCUGCUAGUGUUUAACGUAAAUAACUUCCUUUUGUUUUUCAAUUAAACAAAGUUCUCUCUAUAUUUUUUUACUUGCUUUAAAAAUUAACUUAAAAACUUAUAACAAGAGUUAUUGCACCAAUGAGAACUAAAUACCAUUAUCUUGUACAAAAAAAAAAGUAGGUUGCAGUCGAGAAAUAAUUUAUUUUCAUUUUAGUUUUGUAUUUUUGGAUAAUUUUUUUUAGGUUUUUUUGGGCUAAUAAGUUAUUAUUUUUUUAAGUUUUAAGGGUAUUUAUUAAAAAAAAAUUUAGUGAAAAUUAUGAAAAUAAAAUUUUAAAUAAAAGAACAUCCUCUCAAUUUUUAGUCAUUUUUACUAGAAUUUAGAUGUGGAAGCGACACAUCAUUUGUUUCUUAAAAAAAAUUAGAAAGAUGACAAGUUAAAAAAAAAAAAAAAAAAAAAACACCUCGAGGUGAACGGGUCUAGGCUAACAAACCCACAUGCCUAGACUUAUUUUUAAAGCUUCAAUCUUGGUAGGCCACCUAGUCCUGUGUGCCUCACAUUUUUUUUAAAAACAAUUUCAAAUACUUUUACUGUGAUUUCUUAAAUUUUAAUUAAUCAAAUAUUUAUUAGGUAUAUUAUUUUAUUAGAUUCUUAAAAUGAUUAAGUAUAUAUUUAGAUAUUAUUUUAGUUGUAAGUCGAUCAUUUUUUAUCAUGUUUUCGAAUGACAUUAUACUCUUUUAUUUUAUUUUAUUAGUAAGCAUUCUUUUUAUACACCUAUCAUAUAUUUUUUUCUUAAGCAAAAUUAAUAUGUUGCUUUUAUUGUGAGAGUGUAUUUUUUAUCAUAUAAUUAUAUAAAAUUAUAAAAAAAUAAAAUUAUUAAAUUUAAUUAGGUUCAUAACUUGGAUCGCUAGUUUAGUAUAUUAACCAUGGUUACAUAGUUUCGAUCUGAGAUAUCUUCGACUCAAUAUUAAAAGAAAAACAUUAUCUUAAAAUAUUUAUUGAAGUCAAACUAAGUUUUACGGUUGAUCGUUUGACCCACUUUUGAUUCUAUCAAAUUAUCUAGAUUAUAUCAUAUCAAUCUCCAUAUAAUUAUAUUAGAAAUUUUAGAUAAAUAAAAAAUUAGGUUGGAAAAUUUUAAAAUUGAAUCAUAUGGGCUAAAUUUAAUAAUAUUAUCAAAGAGUUCUUCGUGACAAUAUCUAAACACUACGUUAUUGUUAUAUAUUUUUUAAUAUGUUCGUGUCUAAGUUAUCAAAAUGUUUAUUUUAUAUAUAUAAUUCAAACUUCCUUUUAGGAUAAUAAUAAAGUGUUGCCUAAAAACUAAAUAUUCUGAUAAAGACUUUUUUUUUUUUAAAUGAGCGUGUCAGCUAGGCAAACAGAUUCUAAUUACAGAGAUAUUUUUUUCUUUAUUUUAAAUCAUUCAAAUUCUUUUGGAUAUGUAUUCUAAUUUCUUUUAACUUUUAUUAAAUGAAAGAUAUGCAACAAAAAGUUGAUGUUUUUUUACUGGAAUUAAAAAUAUUAAUAAAAGAAGGAAAUAUAAUAGAAAAUUAGUUUGUCUAAAAAAAAUUUGAAUUAUUAUUUUUUAUAAUUAAAAUAUUGUUAUAUAAUUAAAUAUAAAUAAUUGUAGGGUUCUUUGUAAUAUAAAAUCGAAUAUCUUAAUUUGUAUUUGUUUUUAAUAAUUUAUUUUUUAAUAUUUAUUAGCACUUAUAAUUUUUAAUUUAUUUUAUUAAAUAUAUACAUCAAAUUUUAAAUUUACAAAUAAAUUUUUUUUAUAACUAAAAAAUAUAUUAUCAAUCCUUGUACAAAUUUUUUUAUAUAUAAAUUUUUUAGUAUAGCAUGUAGGAGCUCGGGUAGUAUUUCAUAAAGCACCGGCCACUAAUAUUUUUUUAUUAUCAUAAAGACAGUGUAUACAUACUGUAUCGGAUCGGUUGCACAAUCAUUAUAGUCUCCUACCACCUUAAAGUCAACCUGUUAAACUACUUGUUGUUCUCCCACAAACUCAGACACACUAACUUCAGUGCUAGCCAUGUCAUCAACAGUGACGUCUGAUAACGACAAGAAAUAAGCAUCUGGGGUGGUCUUUAUCAGUUUGGUUAGCAUUGCUCAUCUUGUUCUUACCUGUAAAGGAGAGCGCUGAGAGAAUCAACAGAAGGUGAGCUCCUGGAGAGAUGAGAAUUUCAAGGUCCAACAUUAAGAAUUGUUUCUUGGUAUUUUGUGCAAGCCUUCUGGUUGCAAGAAGCUGCCAUGGUUCUAAGCAUGUUGCCUUAUUUAUCUUUGGAGAUUCAUUAUAUGAUGCUGGAAACAAUAAGUACAUCGAAGAUGCUCCUAUCUUUUCAGAUUUCUGGCCAUAUGGAGAAACCUUCUUUAAGCAUCCCACAGGAAGGCCUUGUGAUGGUCGAUUAAUUCCAGAUUUUAUUGGUAAGUUCAUUACAGUUAAGAGCACCUUAAUUCAUUCUUUUUUGUUCUUUCUUUUCUUAUUUUUAUGAAAUGUUUUGUGACAGCUCAAUAUGCAAAUCUACCUUUAAUUCCGCCAUAUCUACAACCUGGUGACCAUCAAUUUAUGGAUGGAGAAAACUUUGAGUCAAAAGGGGAUCUUGUUCUCGCUGAAAAUCUCCAAGGAAUGGUAUGUCUGUCAUCAUGUUGUUUUUUUCUUGGUGGGGUCUUCAAUGUUAUUGAUCCCCACCACUUUUCGUCUUUUUAUAAAUUAAUUAAACUCGAGAUCUCUCUUAAAUCUUCUAAAGGAAUAAUGAGAUUCAAUGAUUUUUUUCAAGGUGAUAAGCUCUGAAAUACAACAACAUCUACAAUCCAGUAGUCAUCGAUUUAUAAAUGGAGUGAACUUUGCAUCAUCUGGAGCUGGUGCUCUUGUUGAAACUCAUCAUGGAUGGGUAUGUCAAGGAUACAAAGUUUACUGUCUUAGAUAUGUUCCAUAACUUUUGUUUUUGGUUUUUCAUUUUUUCCCAUUUCUUGGAAGGUGAUAAACCUUAGCACUCAACUAAGCUAUUUCAAGCAUAUGAAAAGGCAGUUAAGGCUUCAACUAGGUGAAGCAGAAGCUAAAAAAUUGCUGUCCACAGCGGUUUACAUUUUCAGCAUUGGAGGCAAUGACUACUUUGCAGCUCUAACACCAACGCACAGUUUGCUUCAAUUCUAUUCAAGAGAAGAGUAUGUUGGGAUGGUUAUUGGAAAUAUAACAACAGUGAUCCAAGUAAUUUAGCAUGCUAAAGAACCAUUCUUUCUCUUCUUUCCAAGUUGAUCAUGGAUUAUGAUUGCGUAAUUUUACUGUUCCAGGAAAUAUACAAGAUAGGAGGGAGGAAAUUUGGAUUGUCAACGUUGAUCGCUUUGGGUUGUCUACCAUCCUUGAGAGCAGCUAAACAGGAAAGAACAGGUGUGUCAGGCUGCUUGGAUGAAGCUACAAUGUUUGCAAAGCUACACAACAGAGCACUCCCUAAAGCACUCAAAGAGCUUGAGGGACAACUAGAAGGAUUUAGAUACUCAAUUUUUGAUGCCUACGUUGCUGGAAGGGAGAGAAUUAAUAACCCUUCAAAAUAUGGUAAUUCCUGUCUAUAAGCAUUAAAUAAUUAAAAAUCAAGGUCCCUAUAUAGAUUUCCUAUCCUUGUUAUGAAUUUAAAUGUGAUUUCUCCAUAUAUAUAUGAAGGUUUCAAGGAGGUUCAAGAGGCAUGUUGUGGCAGUGGUCCUUACAGAAGCCUCCGUACUUGUGGUCAGAAAGGAUAUCAAUUAUGCGACAAUGCAAGUGAAUAUUUCUUCUUUGAUGCGGCUCAUCCAACUGAGAGUGCCAACAAUCAAUUUGCGAAGCUAAUGUGGAGUGGAAGUCUUGACAUCGUGAAGCCUUACAAUCUUAAAACACUGUUUGAGGAAUAGCCGAAAAUAGAGUUUAUUUUUAACGAAAUGCUACGUUCGUUUUCCUGCUGAUCUAUCAAUUUGCCUUUUGAUUUAUGGAAAAGUCCAACUUGCUUUGGCCUUGUGUUUUUCUGGGACCUCUUUCACGGUUGUAGACCAUGCAUGGCCAAAAUUUCUAAAUAAAAAAUUUAAAAUUCCGAUGAAUUUCAUGGUAUUGUGUGAGUAAUAUAUUAUUACUUUAUUUUAAUAAUUGAAAUAUCAAAAUGAAGAAAGAGAGAAAAUCAUGUGGGAAAUACCUUGUUUUCCACCUCUUGCAAAAAACCUUCAUUGCUGAAACAAACAUGUUUCUAAUUUUAAUUUGUUCAUUUAAAAUUCUCAAGAAAACUUCAAGAACUUUCAAAUUAAAAGAUAUAUAUAGCUAGAUACCGUUUAGUUAUUGUUUUAAAAUAAAAACAAUAAAAACAAUAAAAACAUGUUUUUCUAUACUUUUUAUAAAAACAAAAUACAAAAAUUUACUCCAAAACUAAUUUCCUGAUAAACAACUCUUUGAUCAGUUAAAAUCAAACUUUAAUUGAAUAAUUAAUCAACUCGUUCACCAUGUGCACACAUAAAAAUAUAUAUUAAUUUCAGCUUCCAUCAUCCAGCAACCACGAAGUAACCUCCCUCCCUCCCUCAUUUUUUAUGCUUUAUUUCGACAACAAACAUAAAAAAAAAAUAUUCUGACAAUAUUAUUGAUUUUAUAUUUAAACUAUUUUUUAUCAAUUUUAUUCCUAAAUUAUUUUGAUUUCUCAAUCAUAACUUACAUAACGGAAACUGUUUAAUUCUUUAUAAAAUAAUGUUGUUUUUAUAAGAAAAAUAUGCAAUUUUGAUGAAAAUACGAAUGAAAAUUGAGUGUGAAACUGGAAAAACAAAUGCCAAAUAUAAAAUGCUAGAUAAAUAUUGGAAGAAAACUUAAAAUAAAUGUGGCUAGAUGACAAAUUUUCAAAUCUUAGAGGAUCAAUUAAAAUCAAACCUUAAUUGAAUAAUUAAUCAACUCGUUCACCACGUACACGCAUAAAAAAAUAUUUCAGCUUCCAUCACCCAGAAACCUCCCUCCCUCCCUCAUUUUUUAUGGUUUAAUUCUAUAAUAAACUUCAAGCUAUUAGGACAAUAUUGAAUUUAUAUUUAAACUAUUUUUAUAUCAAUUUCAUUCCUAAACUAUUUUAAUUAUAAUCAUUCCUAAAUUAGAGUCAUCAGAUCAUAUGUUGCUACAAUGCAAUUUUUCUAUGGAUAAAAUUUAUUUUAUGGUGUUGGUGGGGUGUCUUUUGGAGUGUUCCUGUAGAAAUUUGAAGCAGAGUAAUGAAGAGACGUGAGACAGUUCAGUUGCGAAACAGAGUUAUUCAUUCAUACCUCUUUCUUAUGCUGUACAUGUUAUAUAUAGAGUGGGAAAAACUUGCAGCAAGGAAAGACAAUCUUGCGUAUAUUUUCUCCCAUGAUUAUUGCUAAGAUUGUAUGCUAAUAAUAAAUACACAAUCACAUCUAAACUAGAUAAUAAAUAAGUAAUACUUGAUGAGUUGUUGCAAAUAGUUAGGUUUCAGAGAAAGACAUGGCAACUCCUCCUUUAUGGGUAUUGCUUGGAGUAUCCGGUUAACCGGAAAUAAUUUGGUUUUCAAUGAUAUACAACGAAAUAUGAAGUCAUGCUUCUCUUUAACCCUCCACUGGCUGUCCGCAUGGUUACAAAAUUAAUGUGAAGAGCAUUUCAAUCGCUGCAUUCACCAAGUUGAAUGAUUCUCAUUUUUUCCUUUGUAUUGGUAGAAGGCAUCUAUAGACGAAGGCAACCAUUUCUCUCCAUGGAUGCUAUAUACUUCAUCCAACCAACAAAAUAGAAGUAAUAUAUUUUUCUCUGCAGACAUGUACAGACAAAGUUCUUCUCUGCAUGGAGACCUGUGAACCCUGACUUUUUUUUUUUAUAUAAUUAAUGUGGGUGUUCGGGUUAGCUUACGUAUACUUUGAUUAAUUCUAUCCCAUGAGCCUUGAAGUUAAUGAUGAUAUAAGCCUUCAAUAAUCUUAAGAAAAUUCGAAUUCAUAAUCAUUAAAUAGUAAACUUAAAAUUUAACUAGUUGAGUUACCCCUCAAGAUUUCUGAUACCUUAACUCUUGUUUACACACAAUGCCGGCGGUGCUAGUUAGGGGUGAUCAUUUUCGGUUCGGUUCGGUUUUUAUCAAAAAAAAAGUAACCAAACCAAAUUUUUUUUUAAAAAAAACCGAAACUGAACCGAAAUCGAUUCAAACCGACCGGUUUCAGUUUGGUUUUUUAGGAUAAAAACUGGUUUGGCUCCGUUUUCUCAGUUUUGGCUCGGUUUUUUUCCGGUUUUGGCUCUGUUUUUUUGGUUUGGCUCGGUUUUUUCGGUUUGGGUCUGGUUCGGUUCGGUUUUUUUUUGUUUUAGGCUUAUAAAACCGAAACCGAACCGGCCAGUUUUUUUAAAAUUUUAAUCGGUUUUUUUUUACGGUUCGGUUUUUUUAUUAUUUUCUUGAUUUUCAGUUUUUUUCUCACUCUAUCGAUGUUUUUUUUUACAAUAAAGAAGGCUGGUGUUCUUACUAUUAGUUUUUUUUUUAUUAUUAUUAUUAUAAAUUAAAGAUCAUUAAUGGAAUCUGCUAUGGAAAGAAUAUUCCGUUAGCAAUUCUAAUUUUUUAGAUUUUUUUAUUCCGACAGCAAUUUUUAAUGCUAGCAAAAUAUUCCAUUGCUAUUUUUAUAGGUAUUAGAAAUCAUUAACGGGAUAAAACAAUUUUAUGAGCAACUUUUUAAAGAUAAUAUUUCAUUAGUAAUUCCAUUGAUAUUUUCUGCUAGUGUUUAAAAAUUAAUAAUUUCUAAUAAUAACAAAAUUCUCUCUAAAUACUGAUAGAAUACUCUUUUAGCAUUCCUUAAUUUUCUGCUAGUGUUUAACGUAAAUAACUUCCUUUUGUUUUUCAAUUAAACAAAUUAUCAUACUUUAAAUUGCAUACUGAUAUAUUUUUUUUCUUGCUUUAAAAAUUAACUUAAAAACUUACAUGUAGUAUAACAAGAGUUAUUGCACCAAUGAGAACUAAAUACCAUUAUCUUGUAAAAAAAAAGAAGAAGAAGGUUGCAGUUGAGAAAUAAUUUAUUUCCAUUUUAAUUUUGUAUUUUUGGACAAUUGUGUUUAGGUUUUUUUGGGCUAAUAAUUUAUUAUUAUUUAAAAUUUUUAAGGAUGUUUAUUAAAUUAUUUUUUUGAUGAAAAUAAUGAAAAUAAAUUUUUAGAUAAAAAUAACAUCCUCUCAAUUUUUAGUCACUUUUACUAGAAUUUAGAUGUGGAAGUUACACGUCAUUUGUUUCUUAAAAAAAAUUAGAAAGAUAACAAAUUUGAAAAAAUAAUAAAAAAAAGCCUUGAGAUGCAGUGGCAUAGGCUAGCAGACCCGCAUGCUUAGAUUUAUUUUUAAAGGUUCCAUCUUGCUAAGCCACCUAGUCCUGUGUGCCUUGCUUUUUUAAAAAAAAAAUUCCAAUAAUUUUAGUGUGAUUUCUUAAAUUUUAAUUAAUCAAAUAUUUAUUAGGUAUAUUAUUUUAUUAGAUUCUUAAAGUGAUUAAGUAUAUAUUUAGAUAUUAUUUUAGUUAAAGUCGAUCAUUUUUUACCAUGUUUUAGAAUAAAAUUAUUUUUUUAUUAUUAGCAAGUAUUCUGCAUGGACGAGAGAGAGCCAGCGACCUUUUGGGCUUCAUUGAAGCCCGAGGUUAAUCAGAAGAUGAAUUCAACUCCUUUCCAGGCUGCUAUAGAGAAUUUCUAUAUGACUGAUUCUAUUACCAGGGCAUCAAAGAUAAUGGCUCAAUGCAGUUCACUGCUGCUAAAGAAGUGAGUUCUUGAUUUGUUUUAUCUUUCCAAAAAACUUGCAAAUUCACUUUUAUUUGUAUAAUCAUUCAAGCCGUGCAAGGCCUUGUUUGGCAAAGGGGCAAGCUUGUGGAGCUUUGGAAGUACAUCCAAUAAGGUUACUUUUGGAUUCUGUUUAUUUCACUGUAACAUGUCCAAUGUAAUAGCAUUUCCCUGUAACCUUUUUGUGUGUAAGACACUGGACUUCCCAGGUUUUUUUUGGCUCAAUCUUAUAAGAUGCUCCAGUUUGCGGCAGCAUCUGCUUUUGUUCACCAAUUCUAUUUAAUAAAGAAACAUCCUCGUGGAGUGACGUUAUCUUUUUAGUUAAUUCUUAUCCAUGGUGGGCUAGUGUGUUAAUUAAAAAAGCAGGUUGUCUCCUCAUUACUUGAUAAGCUCUUUGUUCACAACUGUUGAAAACCAUAUUCAGGGAGUUUCCUUUUAGCAAGUUUCAAGUAGCUCACUGUUUGGUCUCUAACCCUCCACGAGUGCAUUUUGCCAUCUCCAUUGCAAGCUUCUGUAGCUUCUUACCCUUUAAGCAUCUUGCCAUGAUCUCAACCCAUUUGCUAUGCGGUAUGGACUCCAAUUUGUCCCAGUUUAGCAAACUGUAAGGUGCUACUUUGGCAGUUAGGGACAAUCUAGCUAUUAAGAAGGAAUGCCUACCUCCUUCAUGCAUUGCAAGAUUCAUUGGAUUUUACAUCAAAUUAAAAAGGGCUGUUGUGUAGCAGACUUGGUAUUUGAAGAUAUUUGAAAACAACAAUAAAGAAAACAAUUGGAGAUAUUUGAAGCACGUUGUGUUGCACAUUGAUCAUGGAAACAUCUCAUAAAACUAGAGUAAUUAUUUAUUUUGCUCCUUAAAUUCAUCUAAAAUUGAUGGUGUUGCUCAUAGACGAUCAGAAGCAUUAUUUCUACAAGUUCCAUGGCCAGUAAUAUCAGUUUCCCGUGACUCUGUCAAGUUCAUGAGCAGAAUUGGUAUCGUCUUGAGAAGCAGAAUCAGCAUUUCCACAACAAAUUUUCAUAAUAUUAUUACAGCAUCUACUAAAUUGAAGCGUGCUAAAAGUGGCUCCAUGACUAACACCAGUUGUUGCAGCAACAACUGGUGUUUGUCAAACUGAUUGGAUGAUGGGGGUUGGACAUGAGGUUAGAAAGAUUUUCCAUGAUGUUACCAGCACUGUUUACCUAUAAAAUCUAAAAGGAGGAGCCAUUGGCAUCUGUUAAGGCAUUUUUUAUUGUUUCUUGUAAAUCAGGGAGAAUCAAGCUCAAGACUUGUUGAUUAGUCUAGUUCUAAUCACUGUCUUUUAAGUGCAUUGAUUAAUUAAAAAUGCAAGUCAAUCUUGUUUUUUUUUCAUAGAGCAUUUACCUGAUCUUUAUGUUUUCAUCUCAUAAUUGAAGGUUUAAUCAAGGUUAUGCAUGCUGAUGUUAAAGCCAGAUUAGCAGGGGUGAUUAUGCAUAACAGAGAGGAUCCUGUAAUUCCAAUAGGUGCCAGCAAAUGGUCAUCAGUUGACCACUCACCAUCCAAAGUCUAGUACCAUAAUAUCUUUGAAUUGUCAUCCCCUCCUUUGGCCACUUCUAUGUCAUCCUCUGACGCUAAACCAAGGAAGCCUGCACUUUUGCUGAUUAGUAACAUCAAUUCUGGAAACAGAACAUCUUGUUCUCACCAGUAUUUCAUCAGUGAGAAAACGAGAAUUACAUCAUCAGUAUAAUUUCCUACUCCAUUCCUUUCCUUCUAUGGCUAUGGAUCGAUGGCAUUACUAUCAUUUCCUUUGAUAAUGAAAACCAAAAAGGAUUUUCAGAAAGGAGAAUCUGAUUAAAGAUUGGUUCCUGCAAAGAACUUUCAGAAUGCCCUGAAGUGGCUUCUGGAGGAAUGUCUGGCAGAUGAUUACUUGCUGUUCUACUUCUCAGGACAUGCAUUCAGAGUUCUAGCAACCUGAUUUCAAUGUCGAUGCCUCAACUAGGAAAAUCAGAAUUCAGAGUUCUAGCUAAAUGUUAUCAAGAACACACCAGAAGAUCCUCAAAAUGAAGAUAUUUAUGAUUUAUAAAAUAAGACAAACAAAGAUCGUAUGAAGUAGAAUUGCAAGUACAAGGUAAUGGUAACUAAAGGUUCAUGUGGUCUCGCUCUUGUAAUUUACAAGGCUAAGUAAAGAAAGAAAAGGCAUGAACAACAAUUUCACCAAAAGAAAAUACGCGGGGAAGGAAAUUAAGAUGAAAUCUUUAUACCCAUAAAUGCAAUGCCAAAAAGUCCAAUUGCUGUAAUCUAUUACAAUCCCCAAUGUCCCCGUCAUUCCAAUGUUGAUGAGUCCAAUCCAUCCUUUUUUCAGUUGAUUUCAAUGUCAGGGAUGUGAGCUAUCUUAGGCCAGUCCUUUCCUCUCUCUUUCUCACACCUUUUCUCCAAAUUUGGACAAUCGUAGAUCACUAGAGAUAGGAGAGAAGUGAGAUGUUGGAUACUAUCUGGCAAUGAAUUCAGCUCGGGACAUCGAUAAAGCCCCAAAUACUCAAGUGCUGUCAGAUGUCGCACUCCCUCAGUUAGCGAUGCAAAUUGAUUACAACCUUGAAUCAAAAAGCGACGAAGAGAAGAUAAGCCACACAGCCCAUUCAUUGGCAAAGAAUUUAAUCUUCCACAAUCAGCUAUGUGUAAAACCUCCAGAGAAGUGAGGUUCCGAAGACCUUCCUCUGGCAAGCUUUCAAGUUCAUCACACCACUGAAUGGACAAACUUUUAAGAGCAGAAAGGUUAUCUAAUACCUUAUUUGACAAAGAUUGUAGAUUUUGCAGAUAAAAAAUUCGUAAAUCCUCAAGGAGCGUAUGAUUUUGCAAUAACCCAUCGGGAAGCUCCCUCACGUUGGGAAUCCAUGAAAUAUGAAGAGAAGUGAUAGAAACGAGAUUCCCAACUGACAUCAGCAAUGACACAUUCCCUCCCUGGAUAUCUAAUUUUUUUUAUAGAGGGUAUAGUUGGUAUUUCGUUCAACACAGGGUAAUCAACUAUGUUCAAUUCUCGAAGGCGAGGAAAAGUACACGCAGCCCAUUGCUCUAAUCUCUACAUUGAAUCGAAAGUCAGCGUCUCCAAAGAUGGGAAUGGAUCUUCCUCAUCUCCAUACACAUUGUUGUCAAUACACUUCACACCAUCCAUUGCAUGUAACUUAAGAUUCUUGAGGAACUGCAGUUUCCCGAAUGGUGGAAGUUGUUCACAGUUAUGACAUGCUUUUAGCUCCAUCUCCACUAGAUUUGGUAGCAUCAAGUUCAAGUUCAUCAUCCAAUUAUUUGGAAAUUUUGAACCACCAUAUCCAACUAACCUCAACUUCUUCAGAUUUGAAUGAGGCUGAAGCCCUUCAAGGACCUCCUGCUCAUUAUUUGGUAGUGAACGCAUAAUGAAAGCUCCAUUCACUUGCCAUGAUAAAGUCAAUGAUAGAAGAGCUGCCUUCAACUUCAAAUUGGCAGUUCUUGCAUCUGUUGAAUUCUUAACAUUAUCAAGAUCUGUGAUACUCAAUUCACCAGCAAGAUUAUUCAGCCUUUCCAGCUCCCCUAUGAAACGACCAUCCUCCUUGCCCACAAUGAACAAGGUAAGCUUUCGCAGGCAUAUCAAUUGCCCCAUUCCACAAGGCAUAAAUCGAAGUGAAUGGCAACCCGUGAUGUCAAGAUAUACGAGACUUUUCAUCUCCUUCAUACCUUUCGGUAAUUGGAUGAGUUCUCUGCAAUCUCUCAGAUCUAGUGUCUGGAGGUUUUGGAGAGAGGUUAUACAUUCAGGCAGUGUUAUGAUCCAGGAGCCUGACACAUCUAGAUACCUUAGAUGUUUCAAAUCACAAAUUGACUUUGGCAAUUUCUUCAUCCGGACAUUUCUUAAACUCAAGGCUCGAUGUUUUUGACUAGAAGAAUACAUAUUAAGGCUCUUUCCCCAUCGCUUUUGAAUCCAAUCAUAAUCCACCAAAAGACAUGAGCGCAGUGAAUGGACAUUGAGAAGUUUUUCUUCCGGAGGAGCUACUUGUCUGUGGUUAAAAGCUACAUGACGAACAGUUUUAGGAAUUUCCAACUCCUCAUGGCCUUCGGUGUUAUAGCAUUCUUGUACUGCAAUGGAUUGAGCAAGAUCAUGCAUAAGAUCAUGCAUUUUACAUGUUAUGUUGCCAAAUCCAUCAUCCUCGACCUCUUGCAGAAAUGACCUUCCCACUAGUUCAUUGAAUAUCUCAAUGCCCAUGACGUGCAAAUCCAUUUCUCUUCUGCAAGAAAUAAAACCAUUUGCCAUCCACAAAGCAACCAACUCCUCCCUCCUCAUCACGUGAUCUUUUGGAAAUAUAGCGCAAUACGCAAAGCAUUGCUUCAAAUGUGGUGAUAGAUUAGUGUAACUCAACCUCAAAGCAGGUAAAAUCUUGCUUGCUUCUUCUCUUAGAUCCCAAAUCUCACUUUCUUUGACAGCUAUCCACUGAUCUUCAUUAUCUUUAAGCCGCAUUAGGUUCCCGAGUGCCUUUAUAGCUAAAGGAACACCACCACACUUCUUCACUAUUGAUACUCCAAUGGCUUCCAGGUGUGCCCACUCCUCUGUCCUUCUCAUCCAAAAUGCAAGCCGUUGAAACAAAUGCCAAGAAUCUUCUUCAGACAAUCUCCCCAUUUGCUGGACAAAAGCUGUUGCCAUUCUACGAGCAACCAUCUCAAUGCGCGUAGUUACUAACACAGCACUACCUUUAGCUCCGGACCUUAAUACCUCUUUCAAUUUAUUCCACCUAUCAUCAUAAUCAUCCCACACAUCAUCUAAUACAAGCAAAAACUUUUUUCCAGUUAACUUUUGUUGGAGGCGUUGUUGCAAGGGAUCCAAUUCUUGAAUAUCACAUGAAGCACCAUCAAUGGACUCUAUGAUGGCUCUUGUUAAUCUUCUUACAUCGAAAUCAGUAGAUACGCACACCCAGAUCCUCAAACUGAAAUGUUGUUUAACCCUUUCUUCAUUGUAGACCAUUUGAGAAAGUGUUGUUUUCCCGAGUCCCCCCAUUCCCCAUAUAGCAUAAAUAGGGAGAUUGUCUGCAUUUGCGAGCAGGAUGUUGACUAGUUCUUCUUUCUCCUUGCCUCUUCCAUAAAUUUCUGAUUCAUUCACGAGUGAGCUGGUAAGCCGCCAAUCGUAGGUAUCAGCUGCUGUGUCCCCAACUCGUGGUGUUAAAUUGAACUUGUUUUUCUCAUUGGCAAUGGCAUCCAGUUUUUCUCUCACAUUUUUCAAUUUAAGCCCCAUUUUCAAUCGAAAAACUAGUGGAUUAUGACCAAAAGAAAAGAAGGAUCUUACUCGAUUUUUGAGAUCUCUUCGCUGCAGAAGCCACUGAGCUUCAAUUGCAAACUCAUCCAGUACGUCAUCAACAACAUAAGCUGCAUCCUUGAGGUCGCUGAGCCACACCUUGAUAGGCUCACUCUUCCACUGCUUCUCCUCUGCAUCUUGCAGCACAGCUUGAAUGGUUCUGAACGUGCGCUUGAGAUUUUCAAGCUCGGUCCUUAGGCCCCCAGCAAGUCCAAGAUCUUGAAGAAUUGGGGAACUCAAGUUCCCCAUGAUUGUACUCGCGAGAGCAGAAAGAAUUGCAUCAGCCAUAGAUUGUUGAGAAGAAGAAGUAGAAAAGGUGCAAGGACAACUAAAAGCAGGGGAUGUGAGCAAGAAAUGGUAAGUAAAUAUGAGAAAUGGAAAGGGUGAAAGUGUUUCGUGAUGGGAUUUACUUCUGCUAUCGAUCUCUUUUUAUUACUGAUUUUAGUGUGGUGGUUCAAUUUUAUCAAAAUAUUAAAACUGCAGUCUCUUUAACUAUAUUGAUUAGGCUCCACACGGUGCAGACUUGACUAGCCAUGCCUGUCUGUAUUAAAGCAUUGAGGUUUCUGAGAAGCACCACGCCUGUGAUUUGAAGACAACAUUCCACCUUGAUUUUUCCGGCGCUUGCCAACCCGCGUGCUAGUGUUGAAUAAAAUAUAAAAUCACUAUCAAACUUAUAUAUUUAAAAAAUAAUAAUUGAAUAUAAUUUUUGCUAGUGUUGAAAUUUAUAACCAUGGGACACAGAUACGAGUUCUUAAAUCAUAUUAUGCCUCCAGGUUCUUUGACAAUUGCAGAUUACUUUAAGGGUGCUCAACGUAAUAGGAAGAAAAAUGAAUAAUUUUUUAUUUUUUUCCCCUUUGGUUUUACAUUUCGGUUUGACUAAAAAAUACAUUAUCAAUCCUUAUAUAUAUUUUUUUGUUUAUAAAGUUUUUAGUAUAGCCUGUACGAGCUCGGUCAAUAAUCUAGUUUCACUGAUAUAUUAAACUAUCCAUGAUUAAUCAUUUAGGAUUAAUGAUUCAAGGGAAAAGCAUGGAGUAAUUUCAAGUGUAUAAAGUAACUUUAUUAAAUCCAGUCACAACUAGAGAUGUGAUCUGCAUUACCUCAAAACAAAAUCUUUUUAAACCAUUUCCAGGCACUGGAAAUCUGGGUAUCCAUGAAGGUGAUUGAAGUUAAGAUUCCAUUAUUCAACACAAAAUGCAGAAUCAAUCAUAAGACAAGCAAGCAAAGGAAUAACAUCCCUUGCAGCCUCAAAUACAAAUGGAAACAAAUUGAAAGAUAUCCAUCCUACUGACAAAUCUUUCCAAGAUUCCGUGUAAGUACUACACUUCAGAAUAUUAUGAUUAAUGAAAACCUAGCCUCUUUAACAAGUACUACUACUAACAACAUUAUUUUGUUUGAGGUGUUGCUUGAGAUUCUCAUGGCUUCCACAGGAUGGUGGUUUCUACAAUCAUGGAAGUCGCAACAUAUAGAUCCAUGUUUGAAGCAGGCCUUAUGUCCUCAUAAUACCCCUUUCCUUCUUUCUCUAUGUCACGGCCAACACAAAUGGAAAUUGUUUCUUUUCCCUCUUACCCAAUUGAAAGUACUAAUAUCCUCUGUUUCGUGCCGCCGUCCGGUAAGUCUCUGCUCAAUCCCUUUCUCCGUAGACUGCAAUGUGUUCUUUAUGCCUCAGACCAAGCUUUUCAAUUGCUUUCUUGAUGACUUCAUAGCCUCCUUCAUUUCUCAUAGACAUAGCACUGAAAAUGUGAAGAAUUUUCAAGUAUAAGAUAAAAAAAAAUAUCAAGUGUGGAAUAAAGAAGCAAAUAAAUUAAGCUUCAAUCAACGAUACAAAUUUGAACCUGUAAUUUUUGUGUGCCCCUGUUAAAGAACCAAUUCAACCCAAUAGCUUAAACUAUUAGGUAAGGUCCCAGGAUAUGAUUUAUAUUAUUCUCUAACACACCCCCUCAAGUGAAAGCCUUUUGGGCUUUAAACUUGCACAGUCCCAUAUUACCUUGUGCUUAAUUUUUAUCAAAUAAAUGGGGAUGGUGAGAUUCGAACUCGUGACCGCUUGGUCAUUAAGGCUCUGAUACCAUGUUAAAGAAUCAUCUCAACCUAAAAGCUUAAGCUAUUAGGUAAGGUCCCAGGAUAUGAUUUAUAUUAUUCUCUAACACCCCGCUCCUUUCCAAUCUUCUUGACAAAACAGAAGUCUAAUUUCCUGAGAGCUCAGACGAUAAAAGUACUGAAAACAUGCACACUGGCAGCAUCCAGUAGGGUACGAUGAAAUAAAAAUUGACCUGAAUUGGCUUUAGGAUCGAAUGAAAGCACAACUCCAGCAACCUCAGUAAUCCUCUGUUGACAUAAAUAUAGACAUUUCAGAAAACAAUAGAAAUUGGAAUAGUUGUACCAUCUUCUGUAUUCAAGUACCUCCAGAUUGUACCGAGCUGCAGCCCAUAAUUCAUCUCCAACAGAGAUACCGACUGAAGGUCAGCUUGAAAUUUCCACUGCAUGAAAAUGAAAAUGGUUUAACGUUGUAAGACAGAACAAGAUUAGAAUGGUUCUAAACUAGAAACUGUAAGAUCAAAAUGGUAGAGGGGAUAUGCUCGUUCUUUUUUUUACCUCGCCCGACAUCACUUCUCCGUUCAUACCACUAAUGUUCAUACCGGCAUACAGGCAUGCCGUCUACUGUGCAUCAACAAUGCCGAAGGCUUCGUCAACACCAACACCACAGUAGUAUGGUCCCCGAGGACCAGGAUAACCACCAAGAGACCAACCAAUAGGCCAUUUAACAUAGUUCUGCAGCAAGAUGUAUUCUUGCUCAAGAUCAUUCCUGGUUUUUUUUUAUCAUAUUGCUCAUUAAUCAUAAUUAUAAGACACUUUGCAGUUAUCUUAUAAGAAAAAAGAAUGAAGAAAGUAAGUGUAAUGUUUUGAAUAUUAAUGAGUUGGAAAAUACAAUAAAGUCCUUGAAGGCUUACAACAUCUGGAGUUCAAGCUUCUCAUAUGACUAAUCCAAUAAACAUCAACAUCGGAGAGAAUGACAUCAUAGAAGGAAGAAAAAAAAGAAGAAAGAAGAGAUCUGAAUAUUUUGAGAGAGAAACGGCAGGAGAGAAGGGAGAAAGAAGAGGAAGAAGAGAAAAGAGGGAAUUAGAAGGGAAAUAGAAAGGAGUUGAAGAGAAUAAGUUUAAAGGUAAGAUUUAGGUUGUUAAAUGUAUAAAUGUAUGUUAAUUGAACUUAAUUUCAGUUUUGAUGAAUUUUAGGGUUUUGAAAAUUUGUGUUUUGGGUUUAAUUGAUGAAUUAAAUUGAAUGUUAUAAGGUUAAUUGUUAUGGGUAAUUGAUUAAUGAGUUGAUUAUGGAAGAUUGUGAUGAUUUUGAGUUAUGAAUUGUGUAAAUGGUGAAUGUUGAGUUAGAAUUUUGGAAAGAACAGUAGGUAAUCUGUGAGAAUUCUGGGUUUGAGGUUGAAGAUGAUGAAAAUUCAAUUUGGUCCCUCAAUUUUGGAACAUUACAGUUUAAUCCCCAAACUUUGGAAAAUUUACAGAUUGGUCCCUGGAGCCUAUUCCGAGAAUCUGAACAGAAUAACAUAUGAAUUAUGGGCAGAAUUACUGUAUAGAUAUGAAAAUUUAACACUUUCAAUUUGGUCCUCCAAUUUGACAAAAAUUACAAUUUGACCCUAAAAUUUUGGAAAAAUUCCAGAAUGGUCCCUGGAGUAUAAUGAGAUAUUCUGGACAGAAUUGAGGAUUAAUUAUGGUCAGAAUUNNNNNNNNNNNNNNNNNNNNNNNNNNNNNNNNNNNNNNNNNNNNNNNNNNNNNNNNNNNNNNNNNNNNNNNNNNNNNNNNNNNNNNNNNNNNNNNNNNNNNNNNNNNNNNNNNNNNNNNNNNNNNNNNNNNNNNNNNNNNNNNNNNNNNNNNNNNNNNNNNNNNNNNNNNNNNNNNNNNNNNNNNNNNNNNNNNNNNNNNNNNNNNNNNNNNNNNNNNNNNNNNNNNNNNNNNNNNNNNNNNNNNNNNNNNNNNNNNNNNNNNNNNNNNNNNNNNNNNNNNNNNNNNNNNNNNNNNNNNNNNNNNNNNNNNNNNNNNNNNNNNNNNNNNNNNNNNNNNNNNNNNNNNNNNNNNNNNNNNNNNNNNNNNNNNNNNNNNNNNNNNNNNNNNNNNNNNNNNNNNNNNNNNNNNNNNNNNNNNNNNNNNNNNNNNNNNNNNNNNNNNNNNNNNNNNNNNNNNNNNNNNNNNNNNNNNNNNNNNNNNNNNNNNNNNNNNNNNNNNNNNNNNNNNNNNNNNNNNNNNNNNNNNNNNNNNNNNNNNNNNNNNNNNNNNNNNNNNNNNNNNNNNNNNNNNNNNNNNNNNNNNNNNNNNNNNNNNNNNNNNNNNNNNNNNNNNNNNNNNNNNNNNNNNNNNNNNNNNNNNNNNNNNNNNNNNNNNNNNNNNNNNNNNNNNNNNNNNNNNNNNNNNNNNNNNNNNNNNNNNNNNNNNNNNNNNNNNNNNNNNNNNNNNNNNNNNNNNNNNNNNNNNNNNNNNNNNNNNNNNNNNNNNNNNNNNNNNNNNNNNNNNNNNNNNNNNNNNNNNNNNNNNNNNNNNNNNNNNNNNNNNNNNNNNNNNNNNNNNNNNNNNNNNNNNNNNNNNNNNNNNNNNNNNNNNNNNNNNNNNNNNNNNNNNNNNNNNNNNNNNNNNNNNNNNNNNNNNNNNNNNNNNNNNNNNNNNNNNNNNNNUUGUAUUACCUCGUGUGUGUAUAUUGAAUGUUAUCUACUCACUGAGUUGUUGAACUCACCAUCUCAUUAUUUAUCCUUUUCAGGCUUACAGCUUGAUAGCAGGUUAUUUUGUUGAACCUUCAGAACCUGCUCUUUGGUUGUACUUUGUACAUUUCCUUUAUGUCUAGUUAGUGCUCCAAAACUCUGAAUUUAUAUGAACUCUUGUAUUAAGACAAUCGAAUUAUAUUAUGAAGUUAAUUUUGUUGUUAAUGCUGCGUUGAACUCUGAUUGAGUUAGGAUAAGUUUGUGUGUAAGUUUGGGUUCGCAUAGGCAUGAAACUUUGGAGGGGAACCUUGCCUAUGUGCCGGUCAUGGAUCCGGGGAUCGGGUCGUGACAGUAAGGGUGGAUUAGGAUAGAAUUUAAAUAAAAUACCAGAGCCCUUCAGCAACAACAUCUGGAGUUCAAGCUUCUCAUAUGACUAAUCCAAUAAACAUCAACAUCGGAGAGAAUGACAUCAAGCUGUGGUGGCGAUAUCAAGUGGAAAGAUAUAAGGGAACAAAAUUGCACUCACAAGGAUGCUAUUGCCCCUCUUAAACGGAUCUCUGAAAAUAGAAUGCGGCCUGUUUCAUUAAAUAAAAGAGGUGUGAAUUCAAAAAUAUUUAAAAAUUAACAAAAAGAAAGUAAAAUAAAAAAAACUAAAACAAAUUUUGAAUUCACUGCGCACACAAACUCAGAGAAAUGUGGACGAUAAUAGUGUAUUUAUUAUUUUAACCUUAAAAAACUCAUUUACAUUAUUUUCGGGGUCCAAUUGUAAUUGGACAUGUCUAUCAUUAUGAAUUUGAUUAGGAUCUAGAAUUUAUAUAUAUAUUAUAUAGUGUAAUGACUUGGAUGCCCUUGAUAUGCAAUAAAAAUGGCUUCAAUUGAGGGGUGAUUUUAAUUUUUUAAUUAAAAAAACAUAAUGAAUUAACUUUGUUGCCCUUUAAAACAAAUAUAUUUUAACUGUGGUCUUAAGGUUACUCGUAAUUUUUUUUCUUGGUCUUUUGGUAAUCAUUGGGUCAAGACAAGGGCGGGUCCGUUUUUCCAAUUUGCGUAGCGUGGUUCAUGUAAUCUUUAGCUAAAUGCAAUUUCACCAAAAGAAAAUAUGUGGGGAAGGAAAUUACAAUAAAAUCUUUAUACCCAUAAAUGCGAUGCCAAAAAGUCCAAUCUUUAUACAGUAAUCUAUCACAAUCCCCAAUGUCCCCAUCAUUCUAAUGUUGAUGCAUCCAAUCCAUCAAAGGAUUCUUUGAUUGCUUUUCAGACGAAUACAAUGUGAAGGAUGUUAGCUAUCUUAGGCCAGUCCUCUCCUAAAUCUUUCUCACAUCUUUUCUUUAAAUUUGGACAAUCGUAGAUCACUAGAGAUUGGAGAGAAGUAAGGUAUUGGAUACUCUCUGGCAAUGAAUUCAGCUCUGGACAUCCAUUAAGCUCCAAAUUCUCAAGUGCCGUCAGAUGCCGCACUCCCUCUGAUAGAGAUGUGAAUUUAUCACAAUGUCCAACAUGUAACUUGCGAAGAGAAGAUAAGCCACACAGCCCAUUCAUUGGCAGACAAUUUAAUCUUCCACAAGACCAUAUCUCUAAAACCUCCAAGGAAUUGAGGUUACGAAGACCUUCCUCUGGCAAGCUUUCAAGUUUCCCGCAAUUCCAAAUCUCCAAGUUUUUAAGAGCAGAAAGGUUAUCUAAUACCCUAUUUGACAAAGACUCCAAAUCUGGCAUCCCAUAAAUUACUAAGCUUUCAAGGAGGGUAUGAUUUUGCAAAAACCCAUCGGGAAGCUCCCUCACAUUUGGAAUAUCUAUUAUAAAAAGGAAGGUGAUUGAAGUGAGAUUCCUAACUGACAUCAGCGACGAAGCAUUCACUCCAUCGAUGUGUACUGUUUUGAUGGAGGGUAUAAUUGGUAUUUCGUUCAACACAGGGCAACAGACUACCGUCAAUUCUCGAAGGCGAGGAAAAGUACACGCAGCCCAUUGCUCUAAUCCCUCCAUUGAAUCGAAAGUCAGCGUCUCCAAAGAUGGGAAUGGAUUCUGCCCAUCUCCAUACACAUUGCUGUCAAUACUCUUCACACCAUCCAUUCCACGCAAUACAAGACUCUUGAGGAACUGCAGUUUCCCCAAUGGUGGAAGUUGUUCACAGUUGGGAAAUGCUGAUAGCUCCAUCUCUACCAGAUUUGGUAGCGUCAUGUUCAAGUUCAUCAUCCAAUUAGGAAAUCUUGAACCUCCAUAUCCACAUAUCCUCAACUUCUUCAGAUUUGAAUGAGGUUGAAGCCCUUCAAGGACCUCCUCGUUAUUUACCUGAAUAACACUCUUUCUUUGUUGCCGUGGCACAAAUGACCGAGGGUCAAAAAGGUAAUAUCCAUUCCCAUUCCAAGAUAAAGUCAGUGAUAAAAGAGCUGUCUUCAACUUCAAAUUGACACUUGUGGCAUCUUUUAAAUUCUUAACAUUCACAAGAUCUGCGAUUCUCAAUUCACCAGCAAGAUUAUUCAGCCCUUCCAGCUCACUUAUGCGACGACCAUUCUCCCCACCCACAAUGAACAUGGUAAGUUUUCGCAGGCCUAUCAAUUGCCCCAUUCCAGCAGGCAUAAAUCGAAGUAAAUAACAAUCUGUGAUGUCAAGAUAGACAAGAUUUCUCAUGUGCUUCAUACCUUUUGGUAAAUGGAUGAGAUUAUUGCAACCUCUCAGAUCUAGUGUCUGGAGGUUUUGGAGAGAGGUUGUACUUUCAGGUAGUGUUCUGAUCCGAGAGCCUGACACAUCUAGAUACCUUAGAUGUUUCAAAUCACAAAUUGACUUCGGCAAUUUCUUGGCCCGCAUAUUUCUUAAACUCAAGGCUCGAUGUUUUCGACCAGGAAUCUUUCCCCAUCCAUACCAAUAAUAUUCAUUCCUCAAAAGAAGUGAGCGAAGUGAUAGGACCUUGAGAACUUCAUAAGAUGAAGCUACUGAUUCGUUAUAAAAAGCUACAUGACGGACAGUUUUAGGAAUUUCCAACUCCCCAUCGCCUUCUGUCGUAUAGCAUUCUAGUACUGCAAUGGAUUGUGCAAGAUCAUGCAUAAGAUCAUGCAUUUUACAUGUUAUGUUGCCAAAUCCAUCACCCUGGACCUCUUGCAGAAAUGACCUUCCCACUAGUUCAUUGAAUAUCUCAAUACCCAUGACGUGCAAAUCCAUUUCUCUUCUGCAAGAAAUAAAGCCAUUUGCCAUCCACAAAGCAAUCAGCUCCUCCCUCCUCAUCACCUGAUCUUUUGGAAAUAUUGCGCAAUACGCAAAGCAUUGCUUCAAAUGUGGUGAUAGAUUAGUGUAACUCAACCUCAAAGCAGGUAAGAUCUCGCUUGCUUCUUCUCUUAGAUCCCAAAUCUCACUUUCUUUGACAGCUAUCCACUGAUCUUCACUUUCUUUUGGCCGCAUUAGGUUCCCUAGUGCCUUUAUAGCUAAAGGAACACCACCACACUUCUUGACAAUUGAUACUCCAAUGGCUUCCAGGUGUGCCCGCUCCUCUUUCCUUCUCAUCCCGAAUGCAAGCUGUUGAAACAACUGCCAAGAAUCUUCUUCAGACAAUCUCCCCAUGUGCCUGACAGGAGCUGUUGCCAUUCUAUGAGCAACCAUCUCAAUACGCGUAGUUACUA